UCCUGCCCAGUGACACAGUUCAACGGCGCAGGUAUCCUAACGAUGCAAAGGUAGCAUAAUCACUUGCCUAUUAAUUGUAGGCUAGAAUGAAUGGAAAAACGAAAUAUAGACUGUCUCUAUAAUAAAAACAAAAAUUAAUUUCUAACUGAAGAGUGUUAGAUAUAAUCGAAGGACAAGAAGACCCUAUAGAGCUUUAUCUAAACAAGAAAUUAUAUCUAAGAUUCGGUUGGGGCGACCAAGGAUAUUAUUUAUCAUCCUUUAUUAUUAGAUUAAUAAAUCUCAAUUCUGACAAAAAAACCAAGCUACCUUAGGGAUAACAGGCUAAUCCUGCUAGAGAGUCCUUAUCUAAAGCAGGGAUUGGCACCUCGAUGUUGGCUUAGGGAAACUAUUUGACGCAAAAGUCAAAUAAAGAUGGUUUGUUCAACCAAUAAAUCCCUACAUGAGCUGAGUUCAGACCGGCGUAAGCCAGGUUAGUUUCUAUCCACGAUCCUACUCAUAGUACGAAAGGACCUGAAUAAGGGUAAAUCAUUUUAAGAAUUAAUAUAAUAAUCUUACUGUAUUAAAUACUAU
rnacentral:rRNA from 1 species